GAGGAUAGCCUAGGGAAACCUGGGAUUAACCCUUCUAUACGUAUUAUUGGAUGGCAUCAUUUGAUAUUAAAACUGAGGUGGUAUAGGAUGGGCCAUGCGUCUGAUUAGUUAGUUGGCGGGGUAAUGGCCCACCAAGACGAUGAUCAGUAGGGGGUUCUGAGAGGAAGAUCCCCCCACACUGGCCACUGAGAUACGGGCCAGACUCCUACGGGGAGGCAGCAGUAGGAAUAUUGGUCAAUGGAUGCAAGUCUGAACCAGCCAUGCCGCGUGCAGGAAGAAGGCCUUCUGGGUUGUAAAACUGCUUUUGCCAGGGGAUAAAAUUUCCAUGCGUGGAAAACUGAAGGUACCUGGUGAAUAAGCCACGGCUAACUACGUG
rnacentral:rRNA from 1 species